AUGGUUAAGUUAGAAAGGGCGCACGGUGAAUGCCUUGGCACUAGGAGCCGAUGAAGGACGGGACUAACACCGAUAUGCUUCGGGGAGCUGUAAGUGAGCUUUGAUCCGGAGAUUUCCGAAUGGGGAAACCCACUGUUCGUAAUGGAACAGUAUCUUUAUCUGAAUACAUAGGAUAUUGAAGGCAGACCCGGGGAACUGAAACAUCUAAGUACCCGGAGGAAGAGAAAGCAAAUGCGAUUUCCUGAGUAGCGGCGAGCGAAACGGAAUUAGCCCAAACCAAGAGGCUUGCCUCUUGGGGUUGUAGGACACUCUAUACGGAGUUACAAAGGAACGAAGUAAAUGAAGCGACCUGGAAAGGUCCGUCGAAGAAGGUAACAACCCUGUAGUUGAAACUUCGUUCCCUCUUGAGUGGAUCCUGAGUACGGCGGAACACGUGAAAUUCCGUCGGAAGCUGGGAGGACCAUCUCCCAAGGCUAAAUACUACCUAGUGACCGAUAGUGAACCAGUACCGUGAGGGAAAGGUGAAAAGCACCCCGGAAGGGGAGUGAAAGAGAUCCUGAAACCGUGUGCCUACAAGUAGUCAGAGCCCGUUAACGGGUGAUGGCGUGCCUUUGUAGAAUGAACCGGCGAGUUACGAUCCCAUGCAAGGUUAAGCUGAUAAGGCGGAGCCGUAGCGAAAGCGAGUCUGAAUAGGGCGUUUAGUAUGUGGUUGUAGACCCGAAACCAGGUGAUCUACCCAUGUCCAGGGUGAAGUUCAGGUAACACUGAAUGGAGGCCCGAACCCACGCACGUUGAAAAGUGCGGGGAUGAGGUGUGGGUAGCGGAGAAAUUCCAAUCGAACCUGGAGAUAGCUGGUUCUCUCCGAAAUAGCUUUAGGGCUAGCCUCAUGUUGUGAGAGUCUUGGAGGUAGAGCACUGAUUGGACUAGGGGCCCCAACGGGUUACCGAAUUCAGUCAAACUCCGAAUGCCAAAGACUUAUCCAUGGGAGUCAGACUGCGAGUGAUAAGAUCCGUAGUCAAAAGGGAAACAGCCCAGACCACCAGCUAAGGUCCCCAAGUAUACGUUAAGUGGAAAAGGAUGUGGAGUUGCUUAGACAACCAGGAUGUUGGCUUAGAAGCGUACCACCAUUUAAAGAGUGCGUAAUAGCUCACUGGUCGAGUGACUCUGCGCCGAAAAUGUACCGGGGCUAAACGUAUCACCGAAGCUGUGGAUUGACAUCUUUGAUGUCAGUGGUAGGAGAGCGUUCUAAGUGCGACGAAGUCAGACCGUAAGGACUGGUGGAGCGCUUAGAAGUGAGAAUGCCGGUAUGAGUAGCGAAAGACAAGUGAGAAUCUUGUCCACCGAAUGCCUAAGGUUUCCUGAGGAAGGCUCGUCCGCUCAGGGUUAGUCGGGACCUAAGCCGAGGCUGAAAAGCGUAGGCGAUGGCCAACAGGUUGAUAUUCCUGUACCACCUCCCGCCGUUUGAGUAAUGGGGGACGCAGUAGGAUAGGGUAAGCGCGCUGCUGGAUAUGCGCGUUCAAGCAGUUAGGCUGAUGAGUAGGCAAAUCCGCUCAUCAUAAAGGCUGAGCUGUGAUGACGAGGGAAUUAUAGUACCGAAGUUCCUGAUUCCACACUGCCAAGAAAAGCCUCUAGCGAGGCGGGAGGUGCCCGUACCGCAAACCGACACAGGUAGGCGAGGAGAGAAUCCUAAGGUGAUCGAGAGAACUCUCGUUAAGGAACUCGGCAAAAUGACCCCGUAACUUCGGGAGAAGGGGUGCUCUGGUAGGGUGUAUAGCCCGAGAGAGCCGCAGUGAAUAGGCCCAGGCGACUGUUUAGCAAAAACACAGGUCUCUGCGAAGCCGCAAGGCGAAGUAUAGGGGCUGACGCCUGCCCGGUGCUGGAAGGUUAAGAGGAGGGGUUAUCCUUUGGGAGAAGCUCUGAAUCGAAGCCCCAGUAAACGGCGGCCGUAACUAUAACGGUCCUAAGGUAGCGAAAUUCCUUGUCGGGUAAGUUCCGACCCGCACGAAAGGCGUAACGAUCUGGGCACUGUCUCAACGAGAGACUCGGUGAAAUUAUAGUACCUGUGAAGAUGCAGGUUACCCGCGACAGGACGGAAAGACCCCGUGGAGCUUUACUGUAGCCUGAUAUUGAAUUUUGGUACAGCUUGUACAGGAUAGGUAGGAGCCUGAGAAGCCGGAGCGCUAGCUUCGGUGGAGGCGUCGGUGGGAUACUACCCUGGCUGUAUUGAAAUUCUAACCCGCGGCCCUGAUCGGGCCGGGAGACAGUGUCAGGUGGGCAGUUUGACUGGGGCGGUCGCCUCCUAAAAUGUAACGGAGGCGCCCAAAGGUUCCCUCAGAAUGGUUGGAAAUCAUUCGUAGAGUGUAAAGGCACAAGGGAGCUUGACUGCGAGACCUACAAGUCGAGCAGGGACGAAAGUCGGGCUUAGUGAUCCGGUGGUUCCGCAUGGAAGGGCCAUCGCUCAACGGAUAAAAGCUACCCCGGGGAUAACAGGCUUAUCUCCCCAAGAGUCCACAUCGACGGGGAGGUUUGGCACCUCGAUGUCGGCUCAUCGCAUCCUGGGGCUGUAGUCGGUCCCAAGGGUUGGGCUGUUCGCCCAUUAAAGCGGUACGCGAGCUGGGUUCAGAACGUCGUGAGACAGUUCGGUCCCUAUCCGUCGUGGGCGUAGGAAAUUUGAGAGGAGCUGUCCUUAGUACGAGAGGACCGGGAUGGACACACCGCUGGUGUACCAGUUGUCUUGCCAAAGGCAUCGCUGGGUAGCUAUGUGUGGACGGGAUAAGUGCUGAAAGCAUCUAAGCAUGAAGCCCCCUCAAGAUGAGAUUUCCCAUAGCGCAAGCUAGUAAGAUCCCUGAAAGAUGAUCAGGUUGAUAGGUCAGAGGUGGAAGCGUGGCGACAUGUGUAGCUGACUGAUACUAAUCGAUCGAGGACUUAACCAAAC
rnacentral:rRNA from 1 species